rnacentral:rRNA from 1 species
UGCCUUACACAUGCAAGUCGAACGGUUGUACGGACUUCGGUCUGGUGGCGAGUGGCGAACGGGUGAGUAAUGCAUCGGAACGUGCCAUUGAGUGGGGGAUAACGUAGCGAAAGUUGCGCUAAUACCGCAUAUUCUGUGAGCAGGAAAGCAGGGGACCGCAAGGCCUUGCGCUCUUUGAGCGGCCGAUGUCAGAUUAGCUAGUUGGUGAGGUAAAGGCUUACCAAGGCGACGAUCUGUAGCGGGUCUGAGAGGAUGAUCCGCCACACUGGAACUGAGACACGGUCCAGACUCCUACGGGAGGCAGCAGUGGGGAAUUUUGGACAAUGGGGGCAACCCUGAUCCAGCCAUGCCGCGUGAGUGAAGAAGGCCUUCGGGUUGUAAAGCUCUUUCGGCCGGGAAGAAAUCGCAUGGGCCAAUACCCUGUGUGGAUGACGGUACCGGAAUAAGAAGCACCGGCUAACUACGUGCCAGCAGCCGCGGUAAUACGUAGGGUGCGAGCGUUAAUCGGAAUUACUGGGCGUAAAGCGUGCGCAGGCGGUUUUGUAAGACAGGCGUGAAAUCCCCGGGCUUAACCUGGGAACUGCGUUUGUGACUGCAAGGCUAGAGUACGGCAGAGGGGGGUGGAAUUCCACGUGUAGCAGUGAAAUGCGUAGAGAUGUGGAGGAACACCAAUGGCGAAGGCAGCCCCCUGGGUCGAUACUGACGCUCAUGCACGAAAGCGUGGGUAGCAAACAGGAUUAGAUACCCUGGUAGUCCACGCCCUAAACUAUGUCAACUAGGUGUUGGGUGGGUAAAACCAUUUAGUACCGUAGCUAACGCGUGAAGUUGACCGCCUGGGGAGUACGGCCGCAAGGUUAAAACUCAAAGGAAUUGACGGGGACCCGCACAAGCGGUGGAUGAUGUGGAUUAAUUCGAUGCAACGCGAAAAACCUUACCUACCCUUGACAUGCCAGGAACUUGCCAGAGAUGGCUUGGUGCCCGAAAGGGAGCCUGGACACAGGUGCUGCAUGGCUGUCGUCAGCUCGUGUCGUGAGAUGUUGGGUUAAGUCCCGCAACGAGCGCAACCCUUGUCGUUAAUUGCCAUCAUUUAGUUGGGCACUUUAACGAGACUGCCGGUGACAAACCGGAGGAAGGUGGGGAUGACGUCAAGUCCUCAUGGCCCUUAUGGGUAGGGCUUCACACGUCAUACAAUGGUCGGUACAAAGGGUUGCCAAGCCGCGAGGCGGAGCCAAUCCCAGAAAGCCGAUCGUAGUCCGGAUUGCAGGCUGCAACUCGCCUGCAUGAAGUCGGAAUCGCUAGUAAUCGUGGAUCAGCAUGUCACGGUGAAUACGUUCCCGGGUC